GGCACAGGCCCAACCCAGGCCCGAGGAGCUUGACCUGAGGCAAGAGCAUAGCCCAGAACAACACACGCCACUCCCCAGCAAGGAGGGGUGGCCCGGCACUCAAAUCGAAAACUCCUGGGCUUUUGAUGGAAGCCAUAAAACAAAGGUAGUAUUCCAGAAGGAAUCUCAGAUCCUUGUUCAUACUGGAGCCCAAGUGACCAUUAAAACAAGAGGCUGCUUCUCCAUAGGCAGUUCCGAGGAUCAAGGUUUCUGUUAAUUCUGGAUUUGGAAAAACAUACCUGGGAAGGAGGCAGGCACUCCCACUGCAUUACCUCUGAGAAAGACACA